AGAAUCAACGCUGGCGGCGUGCCUAACACAUGCAAGUCGCACGAGAAAGGGACUUCGGUCCUAAGUACAGUGGCGCACGGGUGAGUAACACGUGAAUUAUCUACCUCCGAGUGGGGAAUAACUGAGAGAAAUCUUAGCUAAUACCGCAUAACACUUACGAGUCAAAGCAGCAAUGCGCUUGGAGAGGAGUUCGCGGCAGAUUAGUUAGUUGGCGGGGUAAUGGCCCACCAAGACGAUGAUCUGUAUCCGGCCUGAGAGGGCGCACGGACACACUGGAACUGAAACACGGUCCAGACUCCUACGGAGGCAGCAGUGGGGAAUUUUGCGCAAUGGGGGAAACCCUGACGCAGCAACGCCGCGUGGAGGAUGAAAUAUCUUGGUAUGUAAACUCCUUUCGAUGGGAAGAUAAUGACGGUACCAUAGAAGAAGCCCGGCUAACUCGUGCCAGCAGCCGC
rnacentral:rRNA from 1 species